UUCCUACCUAUGCUGAUAGCCUUGAGAGGCUA
rnacentral:sRNA from 1 species